rnacentral:tRNA from 2 species
GGGCCGUUAGCUCAGUUGGAUAGAGCUCCUACCUUCUAAGUAGGCGGUGGCGCGUUCGAAUCGCGCACGGCCCG